rnacentral:SRP_RNA from 1 species
CGCUUCCACCGAUCUAGGGAAGACCAUUCUGCAGAUGGGAGGCGGCCAGGCGGGGGGCA